rnacentral:misc_RNA from 1 species
GAUGAAGAACGUAGCGAAAUGCGAUAAGUAAUGUGAAUUGCAGAAUUCAGUGAAUCAUCGAAUCUUUGAACGCACAUUGCGCCCUCUGGUAUUCCGGGGGGCAUGCCUGUUCGAGCGUCAUUAUAACCACUCAAGCUCUCGCUUGGUAUUGGGGUUCGCGGUUCCGCGGCCCCUAAAAUCAGUGGCGGUGCCUGUCGGCUCUACGCGUAGUAAUACUCCUCGCGAUUGAGUCCGGUAGGUCUACUUGCCAGCACCCCCCAAUUUUUACAGGUUGACCUCGGAUCAGGUAGGGAUACCCGCUGAACUUAAGCAUAUCAAUAAGCGGAGGA